UAAAGUGCUAAAGGGACGUGUUAACAUAUUGUUGUACUUAAGAGACAUUUAAUAAUUAUUAAAAUUUUAGAAAGUCUUUAUAUAACUCUGUAAGUGCAAAAAACUAUUUAAUUAAUAUAAGGAGAACAUAAGUUUUAUAAAUUAAGAAGUGAUAAAACAUAUUCUAUUCGAUACAUGCAAAAGUUGGAAAAUAUGGCUAAAUUUGUGAACUUUGCUUUUGUUAUGAAUAUCCUUCUUUCCCUGUUUCUUGUUGCAACAAGCUCUAGAUGGAACGUUCAAUGUGUUUAUGAUGGUGAUUGUAUAAAGGAAGUUAAUUGCGAAUUUCCUGCUCAACCGAGGUGUCGUAAAAGUGUGUGUGAAUGUCGUUAUUAAUUAUCAAGCACCACAUAUUAGCUCCCAAUAAUUUAAUUUCUAUGAGUUGUUAUAUAGUUAUUGUGAUGGCUCCCAAUAAUUUAAUUUUUUUUUAGCUUUUAAAAUUUUACGGACCUUAUUAUUAUGUACAAUAAGAUUAUGCUAUUGAUAUGAAAUAAAGCAUAAAAACUGUUAUGUGAAAUAAAGCUAUUGAUAUUUGCACA